AGAGAUUGACAAUGCAACAGGUAUGGCUUUAGAUAUACAUUGAAGACAACAAAAUGCUAAAAAUAUACAAUUUAUUCAAAAUAUGUUAAUGCAACCAUCAGUAUUUUCCAGUAAUUACAAAAUCUGUCAUUUUUAAUAGUUUUUCCUUAUUAACAACAAAUCAUGAUAACACAAAUGUUGAUCAACCAUCAGAGCAAAGACAGUUUCAUUCGCAGCACAUCUGACACUUUGCCUGAUAGACAAGCAUUGGCUGCAACAAUCAGGAAAGAACAGUCGGAGAGGCAUUUUUGUAAACUUGGGUCCACUGGUCACAUAAUAUAUUUCAGAUUUCAAACACCCCUGGGAAGACGUACAGUGAAACAGUAUUUGCCCCCUUUCUGAUUUUUCUCUACUGUUGCAUAUUUUUAUACUGACUGUUAGCAGGUCUUCAACCAAAACCUAAUAUUCGAUAAAGGGAACCUGAGUUUACAAAGAACAGUCAUUUUAUUUAUUUUAUUAACAAAUGGGACCCAUGUCAUCCCAAAAAUUAUACUUUUUAAUCAUCUGUCCAUAGAAAAUUCUUCCAGAAGUUUUGAUGAUCGUCAUUUUGGCAAACUUGAGUAAACUUUUUGGACAUGGGUUCCAUUAUGGGGUGGCAGGUAGCCUAGUGGUUAGAGCAUUGGCCCAGUAACCAGCAGGCAGCCUAGUGGUUAGAGCGUUGGCCCAGUAACCAGCAGGCAGCCUAGUGGUUAGAGCGUUGGCCCAGUAACCAGCAGGCAGCCUAGUGGUUAGAGCGUUGGCCCAGUAACCAGCAGGCAGCCUAGUGGUUAGAGCGUUGGGACAGUAACCAGCAGGUAGCCUAGUGGUUAGAGCGUUGGGCCAGUAACCAGCAGGUAGCCUAGUGGUUAGAGCGUUGGGCCAGUAACCAGCAGGUAGCCUAGUGGUUAGAGCGUUGGGCCAGUAACCAGCAGGUAGCCUAGUGGUUAGAGCGUUGGGCCAGUAACCAGCAGGCAGCCUAGUGGUUAGAGCGUUGGGCCAGUAACCAGCAGGUAGCCUAGUGGUUAGAGCGUUGGGCCAGUAACCAGCAGGCAGCCUAGUGGUUAGAGCGUUGGCCCAGUAACCAGCAGGCAGCCUAGUGGUUAGAGCGUUGGCCCAGUAACCAGCAGGCAGCCUAGUGGUUAGAGCGUUGGCCCAGUAACCAGCAGGCAGCCUAGUGGUUAGAGCGUUGGGACAGUAACCAGCAGGUAGCCUAGUGGUUAGAGCGUUGGGCCAGUAACCAGCAGGUAGCCUAGUGGUUAGAGCGUUGGGCCAGUAACCAGCAGGUAGCCUAGUGGUUAGAGCGUUGGGCCAGUAACCAGCAGGUAGCCUAGUAGUUAGAGCGUUGGGCCAGUAACCAGCAGGCAGCCUAGUGG